rnacentral:lncRNA from 1 species
UUUUUUUAAAAAGGGGAUUUGACUGGGGAUGUAAAAUCAGUGGUAAAGUUCUUGCUUAGCUCAAGGCCCUGGGUUCUUUGCACAGCACCAUCCAAAAAAGAAAGAAAGACUUUGACUUUUUGUCCUUGAAAUUUUUAACUAAUUUUAAUGGACAAAAUUUGUAAUAUAUGGUAUACAACAUAAUAUUUUUAUAAAUCUUUGCAUUGUGGAAUGGUGAAAUCAAUCUAAUUCAUUCAACACCUCACAUAUUUGUAUUCUGUUAUGGUGAGAACAUUUAAAAUUUAUUCUCAGCAAUUUUCAAGAAUAUAAUACAUUUUUAUUAUUUAUAAUCACCAUGUUAUACAACAGAUCUCUUGAAUUUAUUCCUCAUAUCUGAAAUUUUGUAUAAUUUGACCAAUAUCUCUCUAAUACUCCACUCUCUGCCCAAUUAUUAGUUCAAAUUUUUCAGAUUUCACAUUUGAGAUCUUUUCUCUUUCUGUGCCCGACUUAUUUCCGUUAAUAUAAUGUUCUCCAUGUUUGUCCAUGUUGUUGCUGACAUGAUUUUAUUGUGUAAAGACACCACAUUUCCUUUAUCUAUUCAUCUAUUGGUGGACACUAGAUUGAUUCCAAAUCUGGGUUCUUAUGAAUAGAGCUGCAAUAAACACAGAGGUGCAUCUUCCUUGAAACUUUUUCCCCCCAGUACCAGGGAUUGAACCCACUAAGCACUUAACCACUAAGCCACAUUCCCAGUCCUUUUUAUUCUGGCUUUUCUUGAAUUUGUUUUUUAAAUUUUUGUGUAGUUGUACACAAUGCCUUUAUUUUAUUUGUUUAUUUUUGUGUGGUGCUAAGAAUAAAACCCAGGCAAGUGCUCUGCCCCUGAGCUAUAGCCCCACCCCACCCCCUUUUUUUUGAAACCUUUGAAACACAACGAUGACAGGAUUUUUCUUUAUUUUGG